ACGGGGUGCAGCAGGCGAGAAACCUUUGCAAAAUGUGCGAAAGCACGACAAGGUUAAUCCGAGUGAUUUCUGCUAAAGAAAUCUUUUGUUAGUCAUAAAACCACUGAUGAAUAAGGGGUGGGCAAGUUCUGGUGUCAGCCGCCGCGGUAAUACCAGCACCUCGAGUGGUCAGGAGGUUUAUUGGGCCUAAAGCAUCCGUAGCCGGCUGCAUAAGUUUCCGGUUAAAUCCACACGCUUAACGUAUGGGCUGCCGGAAAUACUGUUCAGCUAGGGAGUGGGAGAGGUGGACGGUACUCGGUAGGAAGGGGUAAAAUCCUUUGAUCUAUUGAUGACCACCUGUGGCGAAGGCGGUCCACCAGAACACGUUCGACGGUGAGGGAUGAAAGCUGGGGGAGCAAACCGGAUUAGAUACCCGGGUAGUCCCAGCUGUAAACGAUGCAGACUCGGUGAUGCAUUGGCUUGUGGCCAGUGCAGUGCCGCAGGGAAGCCGUUAAGUUUGCCGCCUGGGAAGUACGUACGCAAGUAUGAAACUUAAAGGAAUUGCG
rnacentral:rRNA from 1 species